rnacentral:pre_miRNA from 1 species
UUUAAACUCCCUCCGUCCCAAAAUUCUUGUCUUAAAUUUGUCUAAAUACGGAUGUAUCUAGUUACAUUUUAGUGUUAGAUACAUCCGUAUCUAAACAAAUGUAAGACAAUAAUUUUGGGACGGAGGGAAUACUAC